rnacentral:lncRNA from 1 species
CACAGCAGCAGUUUGAUCAUCACUUAGAUCGCAUGGGUAUCAAAUAUAGGGAUGAUUGGCUUUAGUACAAGUGGAAGAUUGAAAGAAUAAUACCCUAUAAGUCAAUCGCAUGAGUGAUAUGAUGGGAUAUUUUUUGUAUUUUAUCUUUCAAGCUUAUAUAUUUGAUAUUAAUUAUUAUUAAUAAAAUUAUAUAUUUUAUUUCAUUAUAUGCUGCAUCUUAAUACUUAUUUAAGAUUAUAAC